rnacentral:rRNA from 1 species
AGGAUAAACGCUGGCGGCGUGCCUAACACAUGCAAGUCGAACGAGAAAGUGGAGCAAUCCAUGAGUAAAGUGGCGCACGGGUGAGUAACACGUGACUAACCUACCCUUGAGUGGGGGAUAACCUCGGGAAACCGGGGCUAAUACCGCAUAAUAUCGAGAGAUCAAAGGAGCAAUUCGCUUAAGGAGGGGGUCGCGGCUGAUUAGCUAGUUGGUGAGGUAAUGGCUCACCAAGGCUAUGAUCAGUA